GGUUAAGUCCGCAACGAGCGCAACCCUUAUUGCUAGUUACCAUCAUUGAGUUGGGGACUCUAGCGAGACUGCCAGUGAUAAACUGGAGGAAGGUGGGGAUGACGUCAAAUCAUCAUGCCCCUUAUGACCUGGGCUACAAACGUGAUACAAUGGCUGAAACAAAGGGCAGCGAAGCAGUGAUGUGGAGCGAAACCCAAAAAAGCAGUCUCAGUUCGGAUUGAAGUCUGCAACUCGACUUCAUGAAGUCGGAAUCGCUAGUAAUCGCGGAUCAGAACGCCGCGGUGAAUACGUUCUCGGGGUUU
rnacentral:rRNA from 1 species